rnacentral:rRNA from 1 species
CGUCCUACGGGAGGCAGCAGUAGGGAAUUCUCGUCAAUGGGCGCAAGCCUGAACGAGCAAUGCCGCGUGAACGAGGAAGGUCUUCGGAUCGUAAAGUGCUGUUGACGGGGAAAAAAGACCGGGAAAGGAAAUGAUCCCGGAGGAGAUAUUACCCGUCGAGGAAGUCACGGCUAACUACGUGCCAGCAGCCGCGGUAAUACGUAGGGAGCGAGCGUUAUCCGGAUUUAUUGGGUGUAAAGGGUGCGUAGGCGGCUUCUUAAGUCUGUAGUCUAAGCCCGGAGCUUAACUCCGGUUCGCUACAGAAA